rnacentral:rRNA from 1 species
GCAUAAUCAUUUGCCUUUUAAUCGGAGGCUUGUAUGAACGGACACACGAAAACGCAACUUUCUUAUCGAGGAAAAUAAAAAUUAACCUUCAAGUGAAGAGACUUGAGUACCAUAAAAAGACGAAAAGACCCUAUGGAGCUUUACUUAAGUUAUUAAACCACAAAUAAAAAAAGCUUUUUUUACUAAAAAAGUUUAGUUGGGGCGACUAAGGAGCACACACCACCCUCCUACUGACAAAAGACUCUAAAUCUACAAAAGAUCCACAAACGUGAAUAAAAAUCCAGCUACCCUAGGGAUAACAGGCUAAUCCUCCUUAAGAGCUCAAAUUGACAGGAGGGCUUGGCACCUCGAUGUUGGCUUAAGAUCUCUACUAAGUGCAGCAGCUUAGGUAGUAGGUUUGUUCAACCUUUAAAAUCU